GGGCGAGUGGCGAAAUGGCAGACGCGCUGGCUUCAGGUGCCAGUGUUCGCAAGGACGUGGGGGUUCAAGUCCCCCCUCGCCCAC
rnacentral:tRNA from 1 species